rfam:Gossypium arboreum cultivar AKA8401 contig_27751_5, whole genome shotgun sequence.
AACCCAUGGUGAGGGUACCUUCCCAAUAAGUCCUUGUAUAUCUCCCAUGCAUCAUAAAGAGUUUCUAGAUCCAUCUGCACAAAAGAAGAGAUAUUAAUCCUCAAUUU